AUAUGGUAGGAGAGCGUUCUGUAAGCCUGCGAAGGUGUCUUGUAAAGGAUGCUGGAGGUAUCAGAAGUGCGAAUGCUGACAUGAGUAGCGAUAAUGCGGGUGAAAAGCCCGCACGCCGUAAGCCCAAGGUUUCCUGUUCAACGUUCAUCGGAGCAGGGUGAGUCGGCCCCUAAGGCGAGGCAGAGAUGCGUAGCUGAUGGGAAGCAGGUUAAUAUUCCUGCACCGUCGUAUGAUGCGAUGGGGGGACGGAUCGCGGAAGGUUGUCCAGCUGUUGGAAUAGCUGGUUUCUGGUUCAUAGAAGGCGCUUAGGCAAAUCCGGGCGCGGAAUUCAAGGGACUGGGACGUGCACUCUUGUAGUGCGAAGCAAUCGGAAGUGGUUCCAAGAAAAGCCUCUAAGCUUCAGUCAUACGAGACCGUACCGCAAACCGACACAGGUGGGCGAGAUGAGUAUUCUAAGGCGCUUGAGAGAACUCGGGAGAAGGAACUCGGCAAAUUGGUACCGUAACUUCGGGAUAAGGUACGCCCCGGUAGCUUGACUGCUUUACUGCAGAAGGGUGAAAGGGUUGCAAUAAACUGGUGGCUGCGACUGUUUAAUAAAAACACAGCACUCUGCAAACACGAAAGUGGACGUAUAGGGUGUGACGCCUGCCCGGUGCUGGAAGAUUAAAUGAUGGGGUGCAAGCUCUUGAUUGAAGUCCCAGUAAACGGCGGCCGUAACUAUAACGGUCCUAAGGUAGCGAAAUUCCUUGUCGGGUAAGUUCCGACCUGCACGAAUGGCGUAACGAUGGCCACACUGUCUCCUCCCGAGACUCAGCGAAGUUGAAAUGUUUGUGAUGAUGCAAUCUACCCGCGGCUAGACGGAAAGACCCCAUGAACCUUUACUGUAGCUUUGCAUUGGACUUUGAACCAAUCUGUGUAGGAUAGGUGGGAGGCUUUGAAGCGGGGACGCCAGUUCUCGUGGAGCCAUCCUUGAAAUACCACCCUGGUUCGUUUGAGGUUCUAACCUUGGUCCGUUAUCCGGAUCGGGGACAGUGCAUGGUAGGCAGUUUGACUGGGGCGGUCUCCUCCUAAAGUGUAACGGAGGAGUUCGAAGGUACGCUAGGUACGGUCGGACAUCGUGCUAAUAGUGCAAUGGCAUAAGCGUGCUUAACUGCGAGACCGACAAGUCGAGCAGGUACGAAAGUAGGACAUAGUGAUCCGGUGGUUCUGUAUGGAAGGGCCAUCGCUCAACGGAUAAAAGGUACUCUGGGGAUAACAGGCUGAUUCCUCCCAAGAGUUCAUAUCGACGGGGGAGUUUGGCACCUCGAUGUCGGCUCAUCACAUCCUGGGGCUGUAGCCGGUCCCAAGGGUAUGGCUGUUCGCCAUUUAAAGUGGUACGUGAGCUGGGUUUAAAACGUCGUGAGACAGUUUGGUCCCUAUCUGCCGUGGGCGUUGGAAAUUUGAAGGGGGCUGCUCCUAGUACGAGAGGACCGGAGUGGACGAACCUCUGGUGUACCGGUUGUCACGCCAGUGGCAUUGCCGGGUAGCUAAGUUCGGAAGAGAUAACCGCUGAAAGCAUCUAAGCGGGAAACUUGCCUUAAGAUGAGAUUUCCCGGAGCCUUGAGCUCCUUGAAGGGUCGUUCGAGACCAGGACGUUGAUAGGCUGGGUGUGGAAGUGCAGUAAUGCAUUAAGCUAACCAGUACUAAUUGCCCGUACGGCUUGUCCCU
rnacentral:rRNA from 1 species